AUUGAACGCUGGCGGCAGGCCUAACACAUGCAAGUCGAGCGGAUGAAGGGAGCUUGCUCCUGAAUUCAGCGGCGGACGGGUGAGUAAUGCCUAGGAAUCUGCCUGGUAGUGGGGGACAACGUUUCGAAAGGAACGCUAAUACCGCAUACGUCCUACGGGAGAAAGCAGGGGACCUUCGGGCCUUGCGCUAUCAGAUGAGCCUAGGUCGGAUUAGCUAGUUGGUGAGGUAAUGGCUCACCAAGGCGACGAUCCGUAACUGGUCUGAGAGGAUGAUCAGUCACACUGGAACUGAGACACGGUCCAGACUCCUACGGGAGGCAGCAGUGGGGAAUAUUGGACAAUGGGCGAAAGCCUGAUCCAGCCAUGCCGCGUGUGUGAAGAAGGUCUUCGGAUUGUAAAGCACUUUAAGUUGGGAGGAAGGGUUGUAGAUUAAUACUCUGCAAUUUUGACGUUACCGACAGAAUAAGCACCGGCUAACUCUGUGC
rnacentral:rRNA from 1 species